ACCCACGUUUUACACAACACACAAGUAGCAGAACACCUCCAAUCUUUUGCAAAAUGAAACACUUUGUUCAAAACUAUACAAUCAUGUAUAAAA